CCUACGGGGUGCAGCAGUAGGGAAUCUUCCACAAUGGGCGAAAGCCUGAUGGAGCAACGCCGCGUGGGUGAAGAAGGUCUUCGGAUCGUAAAACCCUGUUGUUAGAGAAGAAAGUGCGUGAGAGUAACUGUUCACGUUUCGACGGUAUCUAACCAGAAAGCCACGGCUAACUACGUGCCAGCAGCCGCGGUAAUACGUAGGUGGCAAGCGUUAUCCGGAUUUAUUGGGCGUAAAGGGAACGCAGGCGGUCUUUUAAGUCUGAUGGGAAAGCCUUCGGCUUAACCGGAGUAGUGCAUUGGAAACUGGGAGACUUGAGUGCAGAAGAGGAGAGUGGAACUCCAUGUGUAGCGGUGAAAUGCGUAGAUAUAUGGAAGAACACCAGUGGCGAAAGCGGCUCUCUGGUCUGUAACUGACGCUGAGGUUCGAAAGCGUGGGUAGCAAACAGGAUUAGAUACCCCAGUAGUC
rnacentral:rRNA from 1 species